GGUGCGUGUGCGGGGAGGACCCUCAGGCAGGCCAGAGCCAGGGCUGCCACCGGCCAGGCGGGGGUGCGGGGCGGGGGGGGCGGCAAGAGGCCACCGCGCCAGGACGACACGGAGGGGCUGGGUGCUCCGCCCAUGAAAACAGGCUCGCCCCGGGGUGGCGCUGAGAGACGGGCGGGUCACCAGGAAGCUCCUGGCGGCUGCGCGAGGGCGAGCGGCUGCCGUUGGGAACGUUGGCCCCGGGCGCGCCAGCCACCUUCAGUUAAUGCUCGGGCCCCUCCCCGCGGGCAGGCGCCUCCCCGGGGGAGCUCUGCCGGCCCGGAGACCCCGCACCCUCCACUAUUGUGGAGAUCUUGAACUGUAGCAGAAUCAUAUAUUCUUGUGGUGACCGUGGCCUUAGGGGAAGCUUCGGUCUGUAGGGUGAGAUGCGGUCUCUCCGCCACGCGCCUUGUCAGACGAAGCGACCCGCUGCGGCGAUGGCCCUUUUCGGAGGCUCCUCCGGAGAAUUUCAGAUCCCGCCGUGGGAAGAGUGUCCAUCCAGCGGGUUCUAAGUUGGGUGCAGCUUGUGGUUGCGCCCAUGAACCCUGCGCCCGGGGCGGGGGUCGGGGGGUGGGGGGUACCGGCCAGCCCUCUUAGGCUCAAAGAGGAGGGUUUUUAGCCGGAUUUUCUGACUUCCAGAAGAGAGCAGACAGGCUUUCUACUCUUUUUCAACUUGGUGAACCCUAGAAUGAGGUGGAGCUGCCCGGGGACCCCAGCCCCUGUCCCCGAGGUACAGGCUGCUGCUGCGCUUAGUCAGAAGAGCCUCGGGUUGGUUUUUAACCACCUUGCUUCUAUUCCUGUGUACUAUCAAAGCCCUCUGGUUCUCUCAUCUCUUAGGAUACAACGAUGUGGUUUUCUUACUCUCCUUACUAGACAGGAAGGAACAUAAUCCCCCAAGUGACUUUUCAAUCACAGCGAUGUCCCUGGAGGGAGUCCCUUAGCGGUGAAACAUGGUAUUAAACCAGAGGGGGAGGCACUCUGGCUUGUGGGUUCUGAAGUUUAUAAAGCAGACAUUAGCCAUGGUCCCUAAAAACCCAGGACCCUAAAAUGAUAUCAGACGGGAUUUGAGUAUGGACAUGGUGGGGUGGGGGGAAAGAAGUAUCUUUCCCGAGGCUAGACGUGUGAUAUGGGUUCUGAUAAACAGGGAAAAGGAAGUGGGAGGAAGGGACUCUGCUAGGAUCCUGGUGUGGGGGGGUGUCCUUAAAGCCCCUUUUAAAGCAGGUCCGCCCUCUCGGUGCAGAUUUGCAUCCAUGGUGGUGGUGGGAGACUUACCCACAGUUUUUGGGAACCCAAAUUAAGAAGAGGAUAAAACACCUUACACCUGAGCUGAAUCGGAAGCUGCCCCAUCCUUUCUCCAGAUGGAGUACGUGGUUAGAACCACCAGUCCUGGGGGACAGAAGCAAUAUUGCAGAGAUAAACAGCGAUUCAGGUGUAAUUCUCCAGAGCUGUUGUGGAUUUGGGGUUCAGCCUUGUGAGGCUGACCAGCCUCUGGGGAGUGUGGGCUCGGGCUCACAGGGCUCUGAGGCUAGGAACAGCACAUGGAAUCUGCUGUUAGGCCAUUGUGGAUGGACUCUCCCUGGCCUGCUGGUUUCCUUGUCAUGCGUGUGAGGACCCUGAAUGUAGGGUCUGUCAGUCAGCGACCCACCCACCCGCCAUGGGAAGUGAGGAAGUCGCUCUUGUCAAUUUGCUUCAUUUCUCUCUCAGCCCUCUCAUCCAUUUUAGCAUCACCAGAAUGCAAGAAGAAAGGAACAAGUGCCGUUUGCCCCCCACUCUGCCCUCUCUGUUCUCCAGGACUACAUGGCAGAGAGUGCUGAAUUCCAGUUAGGAACCUGGUGUUGAGGGCUUAGGCCUCCGAAGCCAUGUCAUUGCCUCUUUACUUAGGAGAGAUCAGGGGAGAUGAAGAACUUGUGGCACCCGGCAGGUUGGGGGCUGGAAGAGAGAAGCUCCCGCAGCGGCCAGCUCUAUGGGAGGUGGGAUUCUGAUCAGAAAUUGAGGAGCGUGGUAGGGGUGUUGCAGUCUUGGGCUCUUCCAGCCUUGAAGUGCUAUUUGGGAAGACUUUGCUGUCAAAGUGGGGCCUGCAGGAGGCCUAUUGGAGCAACAUGCUCAAAGACAAAGCACUCCUCGCGCCCCCCAUGAAACUCUUGCAAGGGCCAGUUCCUAGGUUGAUGGUAACUGGAAGAGCUUUUGGGGUCACUCUGAAGAAAUCAGAGAAUAGAACAAGGGGUCACCUUUUGGGAUUAAGUAAAGCAAAGUGUCAGGUAGCGGGCUGCUUUUGUGUGCAGGCCCCCCCGGGUUGUUCCUCUGCUGUUGCCCCUCCUUCCCCUCCCCUUGACCUCUGGUGAUGGGUCCGGGUGGGGUAUGGAGUGUCUGAUUCUCACUGCAAAGGAAAAAAUUAGAAGAGGCAGAGUUGACCCAAGGGGAGGAGGAAGCAAAGCAGAUACCAAGAUGAGAUUACAGCCAGAGAAUACAAAAGGCAGCGAAGACAGAGGGAGAUCAGGGCGCAGAUGAUCUAGUUUUGAGAAAAAUGAACAUGGAGGAAAGGCCAACCCGAGGGAAGGCAGUGGCAGAAACUUUUCAGAAAAUCAGAGACAGAGACAGGAACGAUGAUGCUUCCUUCCCCUCCCUCUGCGUUCUUCCUUUCCUCCCGACAAACUCUGAGGGUCUCUUCUAUGCCGAGUAGCUGGGUAUUGAGGAUAAAAUGUGCUAAGGAGUGGCGCCCCUGUGCUGGAAGGGAGCAGAGUGGGGGCGUCACCCCUGGUGUCGAGAGUGACCACACAGGGCAUGGGGGCAGGGUGAGAGAUGAGUGUGCAAGGCCUCUGUUUUCAGUGUGUAGGGAAGGAGAGGGCUGAGAAACGUGGAGACUGGGUUCAGAAGUUUUCUUCUGAAUGGCUAUUCAGCUGAGGAUAGAAGACCAGCUGACAUGUGCAGGCUAAGGAUUCUGCCGCUUCUUGCGGCUUCUCUCUGGGUGGUGACGGGGCCUGGUGGAUGGGUACUGGGCAGGAGUGGGAGGUAGGUCUGGGGUGGGAGGGUUCCUGUGCCCCCCGUGUGAUACCCAUAACUACAAUGUCAGGGAUAAUGCUACCCUGUCUCCUUACCUUUAUGCGCCAUUUGUAGUUUUAGCUUGCAACUCAUGUUGGGUCCUGUCUUGGCCCUCAUGCUGCAUGCAAAAGGGAGGAAAAAGAAGUUAUGAGAAAUUUGGAAAAUAACCUAACACAAAGAAGGACUUUUAUCUCCAAGUGAUUAAAAAAGAAGAAAAAAAAAGAACUUAGUUUCUGAUUUAUGGGUCCCUGAAGCCCAGCAAAGGCAAGGACCAAACACCCCACCUCUUAAUUGUAUUUGAUCUUUGGGUUAAAGGUCUUUUUCUGGCUCUGGGGAGGGGGCACAACAAAAACCUCCUAGAUUUUCUCUUCUGGAUGAGAGCCACCUUGAGGGAGGUGCUAUUGUGCUGGCUUUAAAGAAAAACAAAGCAAAAAAAAAAAAAAACACUUUGAUGCAGGGUCCCCGAGAAUGUGGGCCUUGUGAGGGGGUCAGGUUUGUUAAUGAUCAGGGCUUGGGGUUGUAGAGCAGGCACUGAAAAAGCAUUGAGUCUGCAGAGCCUGGGGAAGCAAGGUUGCUGGUUUAGGGUUGGGUCUGGGAGUCCUUUCUCCACCGGUGAAGGUAUUUGUUCUUGAUGCUGGGUGGGAGGGGCUUAAGGCCUUGCAGCCCAGAGCCCAGAGGAAACUGGAGCCAAGGCAUUGGCUGGAUAGACCCCUAAUCCAUAGGCAACCUAUCCAUGGAGAAGAUUUUGAAGAAUGCCCGCAGCAGGCGGUCGUGGAACGAGGGCUGGUGCUUUGAGUGGGGUGGCCCUCCUCACUAAAACAGUGUGCCCAUUGCGUCGUCCUUUGUCAUGGGCCCCUGAAAACCUGCACGUGGUUGCCGCAGGCCCCAGACAACCCUGGAUUUCUCCUGCUCUAGCCCAGCUCCACCGUCUCAGAAACACAGGCAUAAAGUCACAGAGGCUCCCCACGACUGUUUCCUCCAGCAAGCUGCCAAAGAAUGUUCUAAGCCAUCAGGAAUGUAGUCUUCGACUUCCUGGAAAUCUGGAAUCUCUGGUGUUGGGCUGGUCAUGGGCUCCCACGCUGCCUUUCCCUUCUAGAGGUGUUUGGCUGUUGUGCAAAUUUUCCAGCGUCUUCUAUCUUUUCUGAGGUUUGGAAGUUGGUUUUCCAGCUUUCCCGUUUUCCCUUUGGAGGGUCUAUUUUGCCUUUUUCUUAGGUGCUUUUGGGUCCCUCCACUUACCUGUCAACCGUUCUCUGGGCAAAGGCCAAAGAACUCGGCGCAAUGGCGAAAAUGAAAACAGGACAACACUGUGCAUCUUGCCACAGAUGGCAUCAGGUUCUGUUUGGUUUUCGUUUAAAUCACGUGCAGUCUCUGGCCCACAGGGCCUGCAGCAUUGAGGACACGCUUUCUGGUAUCCUUGCCUGGGGACUCACUCUUGGAGAGAACCAGCAGACGUAGCACGAUGGGCUGCCGUCGGUGGUCUCUCCUCGCCCCCUCUCCACUGCUGCAGUGAAGACGGCCCUGACGCUGGCUCUUCUCUGGGCAGCUAGCAAAGGAAACUUGACCCCCAAAAUGGAACAUGUUAAAUAAGAAGGUGUUUUGGACAGGGAAGGAGGAGUCUGUGCCCUAGUCCUGGCACCGCCUCUAUAAGCCAGACGCCCCUGCACACAUGUCCAGAUUUCUCUGUUGUGGUUUCCUCCUGGGGAAACGAGGGGGGGGGGGUUUGAUACCUACCUCACAGGGUUGUUGUGAGGAUUAAACGUGUCCUGUGGUCUGUGGCUUUCUGUAAUGCGCCAUGCUCACAGAGCCACACGCUCUGACGUUGUGACUGUCAGACCAGGGGCUUUUACUGCUGGGUGCUGGGUGCCAUGUUGCCAGAGCAACAUUUUGUCUUUCGCUGGCAGUAUGCGAGGGAAGGGCCCAUAGCUGUCCUGAGCUUCCUUGAGAGGCUACUUGACCCUACAAAGCUGAAAGCCAUUGUUCCAGAGUGGAAAUUUGAAUUUGGUAAACAGGAGUAGGUUGCUUCCAGAAGGUUCUUAACAUGUCUGCAGAAGUCAUUGUAAUAGCUCUUAGAGAGUGAAUUCCUAAAUGUGGCCCAUCUACUGAACAGAACAUUGGAGACUAGGACUGAAGUGAAAAUCCUGGACAGAUGCGGAUGGGUCAGCCACCCUAUUAUCUAGUUGCCUUCACUGUGAGGCUGAGCGACGAGCAUAAAGCAUACGAUUAAAAACUCUAAUGACGUGAAGAAAAGUCACCUUACGUCAGGGAGCCCGCUUGCUCACCUGUAACGUGAGGGAAGGGACCUUUUAGAUUCUCAAAGCUCCUGGUUUGGAUUCUCUAGGAAAGUGAGAUCAAAGCUGGACAUGGGUAGCGUCCCAGCAUGGCAUAAAUGAGCCAGGCUUUGUGUCGGAGGAGAAGGAGCGUUGGAGUGUGGAGGGAAGGCCAGAGCAGCCAGGCAGCAGCCCUUCAGGUCAGGAAGAAAAGCUGACCGGGCGCUGUGUACGGCCCGAGACUCUGAGGCACUCUGAGGCCGCUCCCCAUGGGACUGACUCGCCCAGCACCCAAGUUGAUCUUCAGCACUUGAAUGCAGUUGUCUUGUCUGCACCAGGAGAACUCCGGAUCCCCCCAGGAGCACACGGCAAGGCUUCUCACCCUCCAAAUGGAAUCAAGAUGCAAAUCUGCUGCUGUCCACAGGUCCCAUCCAGGAGAAUUUUCGUACGGAAGAUGGGUGGCCACAGCUGGAGUCCCAGAAAACAAGGAGCCCGCGUUGGGAUGUUCAGCUGUCCUCUGAUGUAGAGGGCGAGCGUGCUUCUGUGGACAUGUACAGGAUGGUUGCGGCCUGUCUUGCAGAGCCGUCUUUGAAAUUACGGAUUUUUACUUGCGAAACAAAUGGUGCCAUUACACACAACAGCACCCAAGUGUGUAGACCCCGCAUUAAAACUUUUUCGACGUA